UCUGUUUGCCAUGCCUUCGGUGCCUCUCGAAAGAGAGGUGAAACAGGGAAUGCGGUGCGGCGAGCUUUCGCCAAUUCCGCGGCUGCCCCCGCAACUGUAGGCGGAUCGUCCGCGAUCAAGCUGCCACUGAGCGAUCGUUUUGCGCUCGGGAAGGCGAUCCGGACCAUAUCCGCGAGCCAGGAGACCGGCCGCAGGCAAUCGUCCACU
rnacentral:ncRNA from 2 species